AAGCUUCAAUCGGCCCCUACCUCAGAUUGACAUUUAUGAUUUAUCCUCAUGUUUUGUUUUCUAUAAAUAUAGGCUGAUCGAGUUGUUAUGAUAAAACCAGCUUAAUUGCCUCCAUGAACAUGAAGCUGAUUUUAGUCUCUCUCUCUCUCUCUCUCUUUCUGCCCAGAAGGGAUAUGUUUGAGAUUGAUUGAUCUAAAAAGAAAGUUCAGAAAUAUAAAAAGAAGGUGCAGAAGUACCAGAUAGAGAUGACAUGUAGGAUUAUGUAUAUGGGGUGAGUAGAUUCCAUGCUGUGCUUGUCAGGCGAGCAGUCCUCUCUUGGAUUAACCUUGCUUUCGUUGUCUGUUCGACCUUGAACACUAUUUAAUUUUGAUUGCAUAAAAACCCAAGCUAGCUAACUGCAAGAGUGUUCAACUUUCUCAAUUCAUUUACAAUAUGAUAAAAUUACAGAGAAAAUUCACCCAAAAAUUAAUAAAUCAGAUGAUCGCUUUCUUUCUUUUUUUCUCGACAAAUUAACUCAAAUUAUUGUAUUCAGGUGGAUUUAUAGUUCGUGCACCUUCAUAAUUUUAUGUCAAUUUAGGUCGUAUGCCGGUCAUCCAUGAAAUUCGUGUGAUAUAUACCUAAGGAAUUAGCUAUAAUUCUGUUUGCAUGAAAAUGCAUGUAAACAUAUAUAUGUUUAUGCUAUAUAUGUUUAUAUGUAUAUAUGUAUUUUUUGUGUUGUUUGUUAGGUAUAAUCGUACAGUAGAUGUGUAGACAGAUACAACCUUCUAGUCUAGAGCUUUGCAUGCGACUUUCAGGUGCACUGAGAAUUCAUAAGCAAAAAUGGUUUGAAUAGAUGGAUAGAGUAGUACUGAGGGAAUCUGCAUUCAAUUUAAAUUUCCAAGGUUGUACUUUUGGCAUUUAAUUGACAGAAUCAUAUUCGAUAUAGAUCAUAGUGCUGCGUAUCUAGGUCAAGAUUGAUACCAAUUUAUAUGAUUGUAUUUGCAUUUCAAGAUUUAACGAUAAUUGAAUUAAUAGAUAAUGGAAGUCACAGGCCAACCCGUAACUGAGAGGUAUAAGUUAUAACAGGUGAAAUAUAAUACUAAGGUUUUAAAAGUGAAAAUUGUUAAGCAUAAGGCCGAUGUCAGAAUGUUGUAGUUAGGUAGGAUCUUGUGGUGAUAUUUACACCUACGGAGCAAUAGAUCAGUUUGUUGCUUGAGUUAAGUAGCUUAUUGAGUCCAUAAUUGAAACCAGGUUUAACACCCGUUCCCUGGUUAGUAUGGGUUACGGACUCCAUCAUUAAAAUAUAAAAGAGAAAGGGAAAAAAAAAAUCUAACUUGAUGAUCGAUUGUAAACAGGAUUUCCUGUAUUAUAUUUUUCAAUGUCUACUACGAUUUUUUUUAGAGAAACGGGAUAGGGUUCCAUAUGUCUACUAUGAUAAAUAGUCAAAUACAUGAAUAAUAUUCACUAUAAAUAAGAAAGGGAAAAUUCUUAUUGUUAUAUGAAUUGUUUAGCUAAUUGGUAAGGCACGUACAAUAGAGUAAAGCUAUAUGUGGUAGGUUAACAUUUCUCAUACAUGUCUUAUUUUAUUUAAUAUUUAUCACUUUGAGGACUCGUAUUAUCACUUUGAGUACUCAUGUGGUAAUUAGAAAAAAUUUAUCAGAAAGAUAAAUAAAGUCAUCGUUAGCGUAAAGUAGGUUAUAAAGUCAUCGUUAGUGACUAUAAAAAAAUAAUCACUAAGAUAAAUAUGGUCCUCGUUAGAAAAAGAAAGAGAAAUAUCCUGAUGUAAUAUUUCCAAGGUGCAUUUAUAUGUUUUUUUUUUUUGGGUUCUCAUCUACGUAGGAUGUAAUAAUUAAUCUAUCUGGUGUAGAUUUUAGAACUGUUAAUUAGUUACGUUGGUCUCACUCCACAUUCAUAUGGGCUAACCUGAGCUAGGUUCCAAUUCCAACUCAUCAAUUAAAAUCAUGAUAUAUAGUUAUAUACCAUGAAAGUGGAGCUAGCUAAGGAAAUCUCGCGCACGCACACACAACUACACACACACACACACAUAUAUGUAUCUGCAUAUGUAAGGAGGUUUUAGAGAGGAUUUUCUCACAUUUGAAGUGUAAGGACCCUAAUAUUGUAAGCAUAUAUAACCUGAGGUCAGAAUGAAUAUAUGUUAAUCCAUCGAGUUCAAGGUCGAUCUGACAAUGAAUGUAAGGUAUAUGCAAGGGACUGUUCACUUGACAAGGGUUUGCAUGGAAUUUGACACCCCACCUCCAAUUAGUGCUCUACCACUGCCAUCUGUUUUAUAUUCCAGCUACAUACAAUACCCAAUUAUAUGUUGUCUUCAUCAAAAAGUUCCAUACCAACAAGAAGCUAGUUCCCAGUUUGACAUAGACGGAUCUCCUCUCUCUCUCUGUGUGGAAUUAGGUCAAUUGUGUUGGUAAAUCUUCUUUUUUGUUGUAAAUCUUCAUACUAGCUAGUUGUCUCUUGAUAUUGUUAUGAAUCAUAAUUAUCGGUGUUAUGAGUUAUAUAUAUACUCUGAUCCAUGCGUGCUUGUUUAAGAGUUCUUUUUGUCCUUAUUCAUCAGUUAUUCUUAAUCAAGCCUCUGUGAGCGCCUAAAUUAGCAUAUAGUUUGUCUAAUCUCAUACAACAGUACUAGAAAGGUGUUCCACUAUAGAACAUAUAAUAUAUGUACUUGUUUGUUUGUAAUUAUCAAUGUCUCUUAUAUAGGAAAAUAGUCCAAACAGCAAAUUAAGAUACCAAAUGGCUAUGGUAACAAUAGAGUUGGGCUCCAUGGCUGGCAUGAAAUACAAGCAAUCUGGAGGUUUCCUGCAUAAGUUUUCCUUUAAAUGCAAGUAAAGAUUAAACUAUUCAACGUCCGGAUGAAGCUAAUUAAGUUUCCUAUGCUGAUUUAUAAGAGUAAUUAUGAAACAAAUCACGUCAGGAAGCUUCGAGAGACUGGUGUUUGCAGGUAGCUGCGACAAUUGAAGCUCGGAAUCCUUUCAAUCACCGACUCUUUGUUCAGAAGCACAGAGUCCAUUCAUAUGAUAAUCUAAAUGAAAAUACCCCGUUAUUUCAACAUACCGUACGUAUCCGCUGUAGAAUUUUUAUUUUUCUUUCAUAUAAAAUUCAUGAAUCCCAGCAAAAAAAGAAAAAUGAAAACUUUCUAAUAUAGGAUUUGUCCAAGUAUCAUGGAGCUGACACACAACUCAUGAAAAAAAAGUCUGGAUUCAUCCAAAGUAGGAUAAAAUCAAUUAUAAAAGUCACUAGGGUAAGUAAUGCAGUAAUGCCAAGUAUUUAUAAUUAAUCCAGGAUUAGGCAUAGGCAUGGCCCCAUCACGUUAAAGAUUUGGUCAGGCGAUAUGAUCUUAAUGUAAUAGUAAUCUUGAAUCUACCUAUGAUGAUGAUAGUGAUUAUUAACAGUUAGUCAAUGAUCGUCACGUCACUCACGUGUAAGAAUGUUGCGGGUAAAAGAUACGUGAAGAAGUCGCACGCUUUGAACAACUUGAGAAAGAAAGAAAGCUCCUUUCAUUCUUAUCUCUUUUAAAUUACAUUAUAACCUAACCUACAGCUCGGUAUAUAUAAACGCUAUAGCAUAGAGCCCUUUGCACCAACUAGCUACGCCGGCCUCUUGCUCUAAGAGCAGAUGAAUUAUGAUUAUCUGUGGAAAUUCCCAGGAAGAAGAAGAAGAAGAAGAAUCAAGGAUAAAACAGGCCUCAAUAAUGAUCGUUAUGUGGAAAUUUUCACACGAAGAGCGAAAGAUGGCGCAACCAUGAGCGAAGAUCUACAAGGCCGGGUGAGUGGAUUCCAUGCUAUUCUUGUCAAGUGACCAGAGUCCUUUUGCAAAUUAGUCUUAGCUUCGUUGUCUGUUCGACCUGAAUCAGGCCUCUAUAUAUGGUGUAGUACUAGACUAGUUAGACGCCUGAGAAACCCUAAUUUCAGAUCGAAGUCGUGUGGUGAAUACUAGACCAGGAGGACGUAUGCCGGAUUAAAGUCAUAUAAUUCUCGAUUAAUUUUAGGUUAGCUUUCUAGGUUUAUAAUUCUCGAUUAAGACAGAUGUAUCUUGAAGCAAAGUCUCUUUGUUGUGACCAAACAUUGGUGCUGACAAACUUUUCUUUGUGGGAUCGCAAUUUAUUAGGAGUCUACCAGCAAACAGAAUUAGAUCAAUCAGACAGAAGUGGUUGGUCAAUUAAAAUAGGGAGACAAUGCAAAAUUCUCGAAACCCUAACUAAGAAGGCCGGAGCUUAUCCAUUUUUUGCAAUUUUCUUUUGGAUCCUUUGGGAAUUUAGGUUUAAGUUUAUGUUCUUGUCUCUUGGUUAAAGCAGUGCGUACAGUUGAUGGCCAUUUAGUUAGAAUUAGUAAUACAAACCAUAAGAUAUAAUUGAAGCCUAUAUGAGGCUAGCUAUCUUCCCCAAGAAUGAGGCAGAUAGAGGGCCAAAUUCCUCUGUAACGUACCUUUCAGCUAAUUAAAUGGAUCAGAUAUUAUUUGGUCAAUUAACUUGUACAUCUUUGGUCAUAUAUUCUGUAUACGUACAUAUACAUUCAGGUCUACACCCUAGAAAGUUAAUAGUUUAGUUUAGGUCGAAGGAACAUCGAAUCUAAGGUAUAAGCAAGGAGACUGUUCAUUUGACAAGGGUUUGCAUGGAAUUCAACAUCCAAUAUUACUUGAUCGAGUUCCGAGCCUCAUCUCUUCAAAGCGUCUCUCAUAUCCUUGAUCUUCACCGAAAGUUGCCUAAUAGCCGUGCAUCACACAAAGAAGGUAAAACAUACUGUCACCACUCACCAGCCCAUCUCCUACUUUAUAUAUGAUAUGCACGUUUACCUGCAGCGCCUGCUGUUACAAUUGUAGGAAGCGGGAUCAGCCAGAACUUCAGUACUUCAACAUAUUUAAAGGUCAGCUAGUAGCUCAGGUCGAUAUAUACAGCAGUGGCACACACGAAAAGGAGCUAGGUAGUCCUCUCUUAACCAAUAUGAAGCAACCAAGUUUAGCUGGAUUAACUCUCUCUUUUCAAAGUGGUCUUCUCCAAAUGGUGGUGCAUUUCAGAUAAAGAAGAGGAGACCUAUGAUAUGUAGUCAUAUACCACGUUUUUCUUUACCAUGGUGCAGCAUCCCACAAGUCCACCAAAGAGAAAGCAACUCUUUCGCGGCUGUGACUUGCCCUAGAUCAUGCAUGUGGGAUUAGUUCCAAAACAAAGACAUUUCAAAUCAUGAAUAGAUCAACAGUUGCUAGUUUGCCUAGAAACCCAUCGUGGAAUGUUCCUGUUUUUCCAAGCAAUUAACGAGGAAAAGGAAAACAAACAAAUGUACUCUAGUAUUUGCUCGUCUGAGACACUAGUUUAUAGAGUCUUUUUUUAGUAAUAUCACAGCCCUGUAUUAAACUUCAUUGCAGAAAUGAGAAAAAAAAAUGUAUAGAUUCUAGAA